UUGGUGAUUUAUACAAAUUGUCAAAAUGUCAGAAAGGACCCAAAUCAAGGACUUGUUCAGUCAUUCUGCGGUGGAAGUGUUAUAUAAACAUAAUUUAUGUCGUUAGUAAGAGAAAAAAGUAGGACAGUGGUUAAAGCUGACUCCCUGUCACACAUGCCAAAGGCAGAAGAGGUCCUACCACAAAGCAGACUAAGCCUAAUAUCUCCAAAUGUCUCCACAGCAUCUCCAAAAUGUCAGGAGUCAAUUGGCCAACGCAAAAUGUUUAAAUCAGGUUACUCCAAACCAACAGCAAACCAAAAGAAUGCAGAAGGCUUCACUUGCAGUUAAAGGCCUUGGUAAUUCUGGAGUUGUCCCUAUCUGUAAAUCUAUAUUGAGCACCUGCCGUGUCAUAACCCUGUGACAGGUGCUGAGAGGUGAUGGGUGGCUGUAAAAGAAAAGCAGUGCUGGAUAAGGCUUUGUGCAUCUUGUCGAGGCCUUGGACCUAAACGAUGAAGGCUGAAACAGGCUUCUAACCUAGUUAAGGGGCUGAAAAUCAAGGUAAAUGUUUGCAUAGUACACUGCAACAUGGUUUCGUAUGCAUGUUCUCAUAUAAUCUUCACUACAGCCCUAUGAGACUGCUAGGAGAAAAAGACAGAAAUGUAAGAUGUAGGAGUUUAUGAAAUGUUUUUCCCACUUUGAGUUCAUACUGUGUGCCAGGUAUUAUGCUAAAUACUUCAAAGCAUUACUUCAUUUCACACAGGCCUUUAUUAUCUAUCCUGUUUCAUAGGUGAAGAAACUGAGGCUGGAGAAAUUAAGUUCCUUGAUUAGGACAUCUCUACUUAAUCUUACUGGAAUCCAGUGCACACUUGAAACAGUAGAAAAACAAUGUAAGACAAGAAUUUGACAAGUUUAUGCCUCUUAUGCAUUUUAAAGAACUGGCACCUUGAAUGGGGUUCUGAAUGGACUUUGUGCAGAUGGGAUAUGCUAGGAUUAUUACCUGCUGAUGUUUCCAUAUCUUGACUAUGGUGGCAGUUCCAUACCACCUAGAACUAUAUGCCUAAAUAGG